GCUGAUGAAGUCAGGCCCACCAGAAUACUCUCCCUUAGAAUUAACAGUUGGGGACUUUUCAUCACAUCUGCAAAAUUCCCUCACAGCAGGACCUGGUCAGCGUGUGAAUAACUGAGGAUGGCCCCUUGCUAUGCCGGCACAUCAGGAGCCACUGCAGGUGGAGAAGAAGGGGACAUGAGCUCGAUUCCUGAUCGGGAAACUAAGAUCCCACAAGCCUUGGAGCAGCUAAGCCCGCGUGCCACAACCAUGGAGCAUGUGAUCCACAACUAGAGAAUCUGUGUGCCACAACGGAGGAUGCUGCAUGAUGCAAUGAAGACUCCACGUGCCAUGACUAUGAUGCAGCAAAACAAAAGUCAAAGUGAUUUUCAAAAGUUGUAAAAUCUGGGUUUUAAUCCCAUUCCUGC
ensembl:lncRNA